GGUGCGGGGUGGGAGUUGGGGGGAAAAGUGGGGACACCCGCUCAGGAAUCCGCGUGAACUCAUCCAGGCUAGGUUCUCAGCAGCACAUUUAUGCAGCAGUGGCAUGAAUGCCAUCCGGGUCAUUGUCCAGCCUUGAGCUCUGGGACUGCAGUCCCGGCUCCCUUUCACUUGCCCCUGCUGAGAAGCCAGCCACUGACUCUGCUGGUUGGGCAUUUAUGGAGCAGCCAUUGUGUGAGCCACAGAGUUUGGGACCUGCCUGCUCAUCAGGAGGUAACAGGAGUCGGGGUUGAGACCAUUAGAAACCACAUCAAAAAGCAGCCUUUGGGGCUGAGCUGGUGUCGGACAGAUAAGGACUGAUUAGAUGCAGCGGGGGGAGGGGUUCUGGGCAUUGAGGAUAUUUAACUGAAAGCCGUGCUUCUCAGCGAGGGGCCGAACCAGCGGCAUUGGAGUCACCUGGGAACCCGUUAGAAAGGCAGGUGCCCAGACCCCACCCCGGAGACACUCAGUCGGAAACAUGGGCUGGGGCCUGGUGGUCUGUGUUUGAACAAGCCCUCCAGCGGAUUCUGAUGCAAACUGGAGUUUGAGAAUGCGGGUGAGAGGGAGCCUGGGUUCCAGGAAUAAACAGUCAAAUUCUAGAUCUCAGCUGCAUGUGCCAGCAUUUUCCGGAAUGGGGCCGUCUCCGAUAUUCUGUCUCCUUAGCUGACCAUGUAUCAGUUUGGAGAGAUGUGUCAUCACUCAAGCAUGGCCUAGGGACCAGCAGCCGCCGCCUCCCCCAAGCGUUCAACAAGCCCCGUCUCAGAAAUGCAACUGAGCCACCUGGAGUAAGCCCGAGUCCCAUCCCCAACAGCCAAAGACUGUCCGGCAUCUUAAAAGUUGGAUUUGGUGCCAUGGAGGGACAGACCCCAGGAAGCAGGGGCCUUCCAGAAAAGCCUCACCCUGCCACGGCUGCUGCCACUCUGUCCUCGAUGGGCGCUGUCUUCAUCCUCAUGAAGUCCGCGCUGGGAGCUGGCCUGCUCAACUUCCCCUGGGCCUUCUCCAAAGCGGGCGGAGUGGUCCCUGCCUUCCUGGUGGAGCUGGUCUCCUUGGUCUUCCUGAUCAGCGGGCUGGUCAUCCUGGGCUAUGCUGCUGCUGUCAGUGGCCAGGCCACCUACCAGGGUGUGGUCAGGGGGCUGUGUGGCCCUGCCAUUGGGAAGCUGUGUGAGGCCUGCUUCCUCCUCAACCUGCUCAUGAUCUCCGUGGCCUUCCUCAGGGUGAUCGGGGACCAGUUGGAGAAGCUGUGUGACUCCCUCCUGUCUGGCUCCCCGCCCGCCCCGCAGCCGUGGUACGCAGACCAGCGCUUCACCCUCCCCCUGCUCUCCGUGCUGGUCAUCCUGCCCCUGUCUGCCCCGCGGGAGAUCGCCUUCCAGAAAUACACAAGCAUCCUAGGCACUCUGGCUGCCUGUUACCUGGCCCUGGUCAUCACCGUGCAGUACUACCUCUGGCCCCAGGGCCUCGUGCGUGAGUCCCAUCCUUCACUGAGCCCUGCCUCCUGGACCUCUGUGUUCAGUGUCUUCCCCACCAUCUGCUUCGGGUUUCAGUGUCACGAAGCUGCCGUCUCCAUCUACUGCAGCAUGAGCAAACGGAGCCUCUCCCACUGGGCCCUGGUGUCUGUGCUGUCCUUGCUGGCCUGCUGCCUCAUCUAUUCACUGACGGGGGUUUAUGGCUUCCUGACUUUUGGGACAGAAGUUUCUGCUGACGUCUUGAUGUCCUACCCAGGCAAUGAUAUGGUCAUCAUUGUGGCCCGGGUCCUUUUUGCUGUCUCCAUCGUAACUGUCUACCCCAUCGUGCUCUUCCUGGGGAGGUCAGUGAUGCAGGACUUCUGGAGAAGGAGCUGCUUGGGGGGAUGGGGGCCCAGCGCCCUGGCCGACCCCUCAGGGCUGUGGGUCCGGAUGCCGCUGACUGUCCUGUGGGUCACCGUGACGCUCGCCAUGGCGCUGUUUAUGCCUGACCUCAGCGAGAUCGUCAGCAUCAUCGGAGGCAUCAGUUCCUUCUUCAUCUUCAUCUUCCCAGGGCCCCACACACAGUAAGUGCUGAGUACACAGUCGAGACUCCCUCAGUGCGUGUUCCGUGAGUGGACCCUGUGAUUCAGCCGCGACAGGAACCAUGCCAAGCAGACAUCGAGCCAGGUUUGUGCCUCAUCUGUGCAAUGGGCGUCGAGCCUAUAGGACCAAGAGUCAAGUGCUGCCUGGAGGUCUGGGGAGUGGUGUCUGUGCUGGUCGGCACCUUCAUCUUUGGGCAGAGCACGGCGGCAGCGGUCUGGGAGAUGUUCUGAUGGGCAGCCAGUGCCGGGCAGGAAGGGGCCCUCCGGGGCUGACCCUACGUGGCUGCUGUGUGCAGCCAGGAGACCGAUGUCAUUUCUUUUCGUCAUAAAGAUGCUGGAGAGACUGAU